rnacentral:lncRNA from 1 species
UAGGCCAAGCCUCCACACCGAGUUCAAAACAAUCAUUCUUUGAAGUUGUGUAUGUUCAGGAACAUUUCUUUCUUCCUUUAUAGGCUUACAGGGAUGAAAAUCUGUUAGAUGACACGCAACCUGCCCUUUCAAAGCUCCUCAAGGACCCUGGGGAUUUUGCAGCCAUCUGGAAUUUGCUGUCAUGCUGUGAUUUCUGCAGUUCCGUGUGACUCUUGACGACCAUUUAUGUGUCAGAUGACAUUUGUCUAUGAAGAAUUUCUCCUUCCUCUUCAUCCUCAAAUUCUCAUGCUAAGGCAACGGUUUUGCAGCUCAUCAAACACAAUGAACAUCUGUUCUUUCAAGUGUAGAGAAUCCUACAGAGAUUGAAGUGCAUUUGCUGACAAAUAUUUUAUGCAAUACAUCUUAGAUACUGUCUGGACUAUGACAUGACAUAUUUUUCAGUUCUCUUCCACAUUUAUUUCAUUUUUUUUCCAUUCUAUAACCAUCAUU